ACAGUGAUCCGGUGGCUGAG
rnacentral:piRNA from 1 species